rnacentral:rRNA from 1 species
AUACGGAGGGUGCAAGCGUUAAGCGGAAUUACUGGGCGUAAAGCGUACGUAGGCGGUUCGUUAAGUUAGAUGUGAAAGCCCCGGGCUUAACCUGGGAACUGCAUUUAAAACUGGCGAACUAGAGUUCAGUAGAGGGGAGUGGAAUUUCAGGUGUAGCGGUGAAAUGCGUAGAGAUCUGAAGGAACACCAGUGGCGAAGGCGACUCCCUGGACUCGAACUGACGCUGAGGUACGAAAGCGUGGGUAGCAAACGGGAUUAGAAACCCCAAGUAGUCC